rnacentral:rRNA from 1 species
ACGGCUACCUUGUUACGACUUCACCCUAAUCAUCUGUCCCACCUUAGACGGCUGGCUCCAAAAGGUUACCCCACCGGCUUUGGGUGUUACAAACUCUCAUGGUGUGACGGGCGGUGUGUACAAGGCCCGGGAACGUAUUCACCGCGGCAUGCUGAUCCGCGAUUACUAGCGAUUCCGACUUCAUGUAGGCGAGUUGCAGCCUACAAUCCGAACUGAGAACGGCUUUAAGAGAUUUGCUAAACCUCGCGGUCUUGCGACUCGUUGUACCGUCCAUUGUAGCACGUGUGUAGCCCAGGUCAUAAGGGGCAUGAUGAUUUGACGUCAUCCCCACCUUCCUCCGGUUUGUCACCGGCAGUCUUGCUAGAGUGCCCAACUUAAUGCUGGCAACUAACAAUAAGGGUUGCGCUCGUUGCGGGACUUAACCCAACAUCUCACGACACGAGCUGACGACAACCAUGCACCACCUGUCAUUUUGUCCCCGAAGGGAAAGUCCUAUCUCUAGGAUUGGCAAAAGAUGUCAAGACCUGGUAAGGUUCUUCGCGUUGCUUCAAAUUAAACCACAUGCUCCACCGCUUGUGCGGGCCCCCGUCAAUUCCUUUGAGUUUCAACCUUGCGGUCGUACUCCC